ACGCUGGCGGUGCGCCUUAUGCAUGCAAGUCGAGCGAAGCUUUUCAGUAGUUUACUACAGAAAAUGACUGAGCGGCGAACGGGUGAGUAACGCGUGAGCAAUCUACCUUAGUUACUGGGAUAGCCCGAGGAAACUCGGAUUAAUACCGGAUAAUCUUAUUACAUCACAUGAUAUUUUAAGUAAAGGUCAGCCGAACUAAGAUGAGCUCGCGUUCUAUCAGCUUGUUGGUGGGGUAAAAGCCUACCAAGGCUACGACGGAUAGCUGGUCUGAGAGGACGAUCAGCCACACUGGGACUGAGACACGGCCCAGACUCCUACGGGAGGCUGCAGCAGGGAAUAUUGCGCAAUGAGCGAAAGCUUGACGCAGCGACACCGCGUGUGGGAUGACGGUUCUAGGAUUGUAAACCACUUUCAGGAGGGAAGAAAAUGACGGUACCUCCACAAGAAGCCCCGGCCAACUACGUGCCAGCAGCCGCGGUAAUACGUAGGGGGCGAGCGUUGUCCGGAUUUAUUGGGCGUAAAGAGCUCGUAGGCGGUUCAACAAGUCGGUCGUGAAAGUUCAGGGCUUAACCCUGAAAUGUCGAUCGAUACUGUUGUGACUAGGAUAUGGUAGAGGUGAGUGGAAUUCCGAGUGUAGCGGUGAAAUGCGUAGAUAUUCGGAGGAACACCAAUAGCGAAGGCAGCUCACUGGACCACUAUCGACGCUGAGGAGCGAAAGCUAGGGGAGCAAACAGGAUUAGAUACCCUGGUAGUCCUAGCUGUAAACGAUGGAUACUAGAUGUAGGAAUUGGAUUGACGAUUUCUGUAUCGUAGCUAACGCGUUAAGUAU
rnacentral:rRNA from 1 species